CUCGGAACUCAGCCUCCCACUAUGUACUCGUGGACCUCAGUGAUCACUCCUGCCUUUGUCACGGCCACACGUGCAGCUGUGCUGCACAUUCUGGACAAGCUCUCAGGGUCCUAGGAGACUCGUGUUUGUUUUUGGACGCUGUCCUGGGGUUUGCUGUGGCCACGAGGCAGGGGGACGGGUUCUCAGCCCCCAGCUGUUCCUCUGGUCCCCAUAAGAGGAGAAUGUGACUGAGGGUGGUCGCUUGACAGCUGCCAGGAAAACCAGCACUGUUUGGACCUAAUUGGGAAGAAGAAGUGCAGACACCAGCUGUCUCCAGGUUCUGCUCUGCGCCUCAAGCUGACGCUGAGAAGACGCGAGGCAGCCUCAGCUGCUAGGAGGGCGUGAUGGGGGACCAUAGAGAGCCAGGGCAAAUCAGCGUGGACAUCUGGUUGUUGGGCCCAGCGUCAUUCCUGUCUUUCUGCUCUGAACUAGCCAUUGCCCAGAGGAGCUGUACCAGGCUUCUGUCGCUGCUUCUUGGUUUUCCCCAACCUCCCCGCCGUCACAGUGCGGACUUUCUGGGACACUUCCGAUUCAAACCAGCAGUGGUCACAACUGUUGAGAGAUGCAAGGGAUGCUUCAGAGUAUUGGAUCAGUGGGAAAACAUUGGAUUUUGGUGUGAGUUCUGUUAGGAGGCUGGAGGCAGGGGCAGCUGCAUGCUGGGGCAGGUAGGCAACCAGAGGGGCAGUGCCACUUCAGCACUGAGGACUGGACAGCACCCUCAACAGCCUGGCAAAGCCAAAGGAGUGCCGGCUAGUCACUCCAGCCCAACCCCAGCCCACUGAGGCUGGCAGUGGAACCCUUUUAGAGGGGCCUGAGCUCCAAGACCUCAGCCUCCAGGAACUUGGAGCCUGGAACCUUGGCUUAUGGGGUUGGGACCAGAGCUCCAAAAGAAUUAUAGACUCUAGAUAUCACAUAAACAACCCUUUGUAGCACUGCAGAUCACAAAUCUUUUUACAGUCACCCCUCUGCCUUGCAAUAGCUCAGGAAAGUCGGAACAUCUACUCUAACAGACGAGGGAGCUCAGAUAGGGUAGCCAGUCUCUCCAAGUCACACAGCCAGCAAGGGGUCUGAGCUAAGACUUGAAGGGCUGCUUGGGAAUGUAGCAGAUUCAUCCCUACAGACUAUGACAGUGGAGCGGGGCCCUUGUAGUAAGGAGAUCCUGAGGGCUGAUGGAUCAACGCAAAGGGGUUAGGGUUAGGAUUAGGGGGUGAGGGUGACUUAUGACCCCAAGACAGCACCGCACAUGUGGAGUGGGAAGCCUGGUAAAGCUGGACAGUGCUUGGAAGAGGAGCAGGGCUCCCAAUAAAAUAUGACUUUGUCUAUUCCUAAAGCCCAAGGUGGCAUUCAAGCCCUUUUCUGGACCAGGAUCUCCACCUUUGGGCCAGAGGUCACUCAUCUGUUCCCUGGCCAAUCAGUUCCACCCAGGGAUUCUCCCUCCUGCCUUCACUCUAAGCCUUAAGCUACCAGAGACAGUGGCUGCUAAUCCCUGGGUGUUCCCAGCCCAGCGUCUGGGAAGCACUGGGCCCACAGUUA